rnacentral:rRNA from 1 species
UACAGAGGGGGCAAGCGUUAUUCGGAAUUAUUGGGCGUAAAGGGCGCGUAGGCGGCCAUUCAAGUGACGGGUGAAAGCCCUCGGCUUAACCGAGGAACUGCCUGUCAGACUGGAUGGCUUGAGACCGGAAGAGGUAAGUGGAACUGCGAGUGUAGAGGUGAAAUUCGUAGAUAUUCGCAAGAACACCAGUGGCGAAGGCGGCUUACUGGUCCGGUUCUGACGCUGAGGCGCGAAAGCGUGGGGAGCAAACAGG